CUGAUCCAGCCAUGCCGCGUGAGUGAAGAAGGCCUUCGGGUUGUAAAGCUCUUUCAGCCGGGAAGAAAAGACCGCGACUAAUAAUCGCGGUUCAUGACGGUACCGGAAGAAGAAGCACCGGCUAACUACGUGCCAGCAGCCGCGGUAAUACGUAGGGUGCGAGCGUUAAUCGGAAUUACUGGGCGUAAAGGGUGCGCAGGCGGUUUUGUAAGUCAGAUGUGAAAUCCCCGGGCUUAACCUGGGAACUGCGUUUGAAACUACAAAACUAGAGUGUAGCAGAGGGGGGUGGAAUUCCAUGUGUAGCAGUGAAAUGCGUAGAGAUAUGGAAGAACACCGAUGGCGAAGGCAGCCCCCUGGGUUAACACUGACGCUCAGGCACGAAAGCGUGGGGAGCAAACAGGAUUAGAUACCCUGGUAGUCCACGCCCUAAACGAUGUCAACUAGUUGUCGGGCCUUAAUAGGCUUGGUAACGUAGCUAACGCGUGAAGUUGACCGCCUGGGGAGUACGGUCGCAAGAUUAAAACUCAAAGGAAUUGACGGGGA
rnacentral:rRNA from 1 species